rnacentral:rRNA from 1 species
GAUGAACGCUAGCUACAGGCUUAACACAUGCAAGUCGAGGGACCGGCGCACGGGUGAGUAACACGUAUCCCACCUGCCCUUUACUCGGGGAUAGCCUUUCGAAAGAAAGAUUAAUACCCGAUAUAAAGGAUGGGGAUGCGUUCUAUUAGGUUGUUGGUGAGGUAACGGCCCACCAAGCCUUCGAUGGAGAGGGGUUCGGAGAGGAAGGUCCCCUGCAGUGGAACGGAGACACGGUCCAAACUCCUAGGGGAGGCAGCAGUGCGGAAUAUUGGGCAAGUGGCGCGAGCCUGAACCAGCCAAGUAGCGGGCAGGAUGUCGGCCUAUGGGUUGUAAACUGCUUUUGUAUGGGGAUAGGUACCAUACGAAUAAGGACCGGCUAACUCCGUGCCAGCCGCCGCGGUAAUAC